rnacentral:rRNA from 1 species
GAACUUUACCGAGUGGCGGACGGGUGAGUAACGCGUGGGUAACCUGCCCUGUACCGGGGGACAACAGUUGGAAACGACUGCUAAUACCGCAUAAGCGCACAGCAUCGCAUGGUGCAGUGUGAAAAAUUCCGGUGGUACAGGAUGGACCCGCGUCUGAUUAGCUAGUUGGUGAGGUAACGGCCCACCAAGGCGACGAUCAGUAGCCGACCUGAGAGGGUGAUCGGCCACAUUGGGACUGAGACACGGCCCAAACUCCUACGGGAGGCAGCAGUGGGGGAUAUUGCACAAUGGGGGAAACCCUGAUGCAGCAACGCCGCGUGAGUGAAGAAGUAUUUCGGUAUGUAAAGCUCUAUCAGCAGGGAAGAAAUUGACGGUACCCGCAGAAGAAGCCCCGGCUAACUACGUGCCAGCAGCCGCGGUAAUACGUAGGGGGCAAGCGUUAUCCGGAUUUACUGGGUGUAAAGGGAGCGCAGGCGGCAACGCAAGUCAGAAGUGAAAACCCCGGGCUUAACCUUGGGAUUGCUUUUGAAACUGU